AAGCAAUAUCACUCGAGUUUUUGAACAAUUUUUUUUUUUUAAGUAAACGAAUAAUUCUCGUUCACUUCCAUUGUUUUGGUGGUGAACAACUGUGUUUUUUAAAGAAUAAUUUGAGUAAACAAACCUUCCUCCUGAUGAAGAUACAACAUUAAAAUCAAUUGUGGUAAUCUGUAGUUAAAGAGAGCAGGCCUACUGCCACGCAGGCACGCGCACACACACACUUUUAUGCUGUAUUUAUGUGCUUUUUGGUGUGUCAAAGUUUUGGUCACCAUUCGUUUGCAUUUUAUGGACCUUCAGAGCAGAGAUAUUCUUCUAAAAAUCGUUGUAUGUGUUCAGCAGAAGAAAGUCAUUCACAUCUGCGAUGGCAGGAGUGUGCGUAAUUGAGGAGAGAAUUUUCAUUCUUGUGUGAACCAUUCCUUUAAGACAAUAACAGUGUAACGUGCUGAUAAACAGGUACAGGAAGGUGUUGAACUGGAAACGCCUCCCUUAGGACUGGAGAGUUUCACACACUAUUUAGCUCUGAAACCCAGCAAUUUCUGUCUGAACUCAUCUCUAUCUUCCAACCAGAGGUUGACAAGAUCCUAAAGCUGCGAGUUCCCCCGAAAGUACAAUUGGAUCUGACCGGAGAGCUGCCAGGAUUUCUGGAGGACACAGCUCACAACCGAAAUUAUCCCAACUGGAGAGUCAACUCUGUUCCACCCAGAUUACACUGCAGACAUGUGGACAUUGGUGACCUUUCACCCUGUGACACACAACACUUUGUACAGGGACUCAAAUCCACUGUCCAAGGGUUACAGAGACGAACAGACGUUGAUGACUGCUGUAUCCAUGUUUCUAGAAAUAGUGCAGAAGAAUGAUUUCCCAGAGUUCCUCACUACCUACCUUAACCUGGACCACACAUUCCUUAACUCUCAGAGCCUAUAGGAGAAGGGACAGAUGGAUAGGCUGCCCAAAGCCCGGCUCUAACUCAACAUAUAACCUUACAUUCAAGUCUAAAAUUAUUAUUACUUAUGUAGUAAAUAAUACAUCCAUUAAUGUAAAUCUGAGUUAUCAUGCAAAUUCCCCACAUGGAGGCAUCACUAUUAGCUAUAAAAUUUUAAAGAUUAUUAAGAGGUAUAAAGAGUACAGUCUUACUGUGUGGCAAUAUUGGCAGGUGGAGUACAAAUC